GAGGAGGACACAGUCAGUCAAAAGAGAAUGAAGAAAAGAAGCAAAUUUGAAGAUUAUGUUCAAGGGUCAGAUUUGUCUCCUGAGGAGGAUGAGUCCUUGCCAGACAAGAAAAAGGAGGAUACAGUGUUGCUUCCGGUUCCUCUGCCAAAGGUUAAGCUCUCACAUAAGGGACAAAAUGCAAUGCUGCUCGAGUUACCUGCACCCCCAGAUCUGGCUAACACCACCAUUAGACAACCAG